rnacentral:rRNA from 1 species
AGAGUUUGAUCCUGGCUCAGGAUGAACGCUAGCUACAGGCUUAACACAUGCAAGUCGAGGGGCAUCAGGAAGAAAGCUUGCUUUCUUUGCCGGCGACCGGCGCACGGGUGAGUAACACGUAUCCAACCUGCCCUUUACUCGGGGAUAGCCUUUCGAAAGAAAGAUUAAUACCCGAUAGUAUAAUGAUUCCGCAUGGUUUCAUUAUUAAAGGAUUCCGGUAAAGGAUGGGGAUGCGUUCCAUUAGGUUGUUGGUGAGGUAACGGCCCACCAAGCCUUCGAUGGAUAGGGGUUCUGAGAGGAAGGUCCCCCACAUUGGAACUGAGACACGGUCCAAACUCCUACGGGAGGCAGCAGUGAGGAAUAUUGGUCAAUGGGCGAGAGCCUGAACCAGCCAAGUAGCGUGAAGGAUGACUGCCCUAUGGGUUGUAAACUUCUUUUAUAAAGGAAUAAAGUCGGGUAUGCAUACCCGUUUGCAUGUACUUUAUGAAUAAGGAUCGGCUAACUCCGUGCCAGCAGCCGCGGUAAUACGGAGGAUCCGAGCGUUAUCCGGAUUUAUUGGGUUUAAAGGGAGCGUAGGCGGACGCUUAAGUCAGUUGUGAAAGUUUGCGGCUCAACCGUAAAAUUGCAGUUGAUACUGGAUAUCUUGAGUGCAGUUGAGGCAGGCGGAAUUCGUGGUGUAGCGGUGAAAUGCUUAGAUAUCACGAAGAACUCCGAUUGCGAAGGCAGCCUGCUAAGCUGCAACUGACAUUGAGGCUCGAAAGUGUGGGUAUCAAACAGGAUUAGAUACCCUGGUAGUCCACACGGUAAACGAUGAAUACUCGCUGUUUGCGAUAUACGGCAAGCGGCCAAGCGAAAGCGUUAAGUAUUCCACCUGGGGAGUACGCCGGCAACGGUGAAACUCAAAGGAAUUGACGGGGGCCC